AAACACUGUAGAGAAUUGUGCAGUCAAAGGAGGCCGUGGGGGCACAGUCCUGGCCUUCGUUCCCCGGUCCCAGCUUCGGGGUCGCCCCUGCUCUGGGCUGGCAGGGUUCAGUGGGGACUGUCCUGGCUUGUGACACACAGUACGCACUAUCAUGAUUGCAUUCUUCCACUUUGUGGACCUGGGAAUCGAACUUGGGUUGUCAGCUUGGCAGCAAGUAUCUGUCCCCAAGUCCCCUGACAUGGGCUUUUGGUGUGUGUAUCAGGGGUCUCAUGUAGCCCAGGCUGCCCUGGGUGAUCUAGAAUAACUCUAAACCGACCCUCCUGUCUCCACCUCCCAAAUGGCAGGCCUGCACCACCGACACCUGAUUUCUAUGGCGCGUGGGGGGGGAGCCAGGGCUGUCACAUGCCAGGCUUUGUCUGCCCUCACCCUGGGGUCAGGAGGCUGGGACCGCUUACCUCGCACGGGCACGAAGUCUCCAGGGCCGUCGACCUUGUUGGAGUCGAAAGGGCUGAUGGAGGGGAGGAUGAUCAGGACGAAGGACAGUAGAAGGACCUGCCAGACACGGGCGGGGUCACCCCAUCCUUCCCCCUCCCCUGUGAGCACACCUGGGCGCACAGGCAGGGAGGCUGAGGUCUCGCUAUCAGUGGGUGCAUGAGGCUUUAUUUUAUUUAGAUGGGUGUUUGGUGUAUCGAGACAGUGCCUUGCUGACCUGUGACCCCUGCCUUUGUUUCCUGAGGGUUAUCAACAAGCCUGUCCCCCAUGCCAGGCUCCAAGCCUGUCCCCCAUGCCAGGCUCCAAGACUCCGCUACUAAAGACACAUACGUCCCCCAAUGCCCACUUGGCUGAAGCAAAGCAACCCGCCAUCAUGGGGACGCCGCAGACGCCUGCGUCUGCACUCACCGCUAUGCAGGUGCCCGCGUGGGCAGACUUGCUGGUUGACUGGACCACGAGAGCCUGCAGGUGUCUCAGCUGCUCCAGGAGAGACCUUGCAGGGAGAGGACACCCGCUGAGUCCUGGGGUCCCCUUGCUUACUGACCUUUUCCGGGAUCCCCUGGCCUCUUCCCUGCCUCUCUGGCCCUCAGUUCCUCUGAUCCUGCCACACAGCAGACUCUGCCCUGUCCCAGGCUUUUGCCCAGGCCUUGCCCUCUGUACCAAGGGCAUUGUUUCCACUGUUAUGUGUGUAGCUGGUUCUUGCCCACCCCAUAGGACUUUGUAUAUGCCAAUUCCUCUCUAGCCAACUCCUACACACCCAUCAAAGCCCCGAAUACAAAAUGCCCUCCUUGGUACACGGAGUCUCCUUUCUUGCUCUCCUACAGUCGCUGUGCCAAUGUUUGUCCCUCAAGCCCACAUCCCCAGCCCUCACCCCCACACACCCCAGGGGGACCCGCCCCCAUCUCAACACACACUCACAGAUUUUGCUUUUCUAAAUGCAAGACCUUCCUCUGCAGCUCCUGGUUCUGGGCAGUGCAGGCUGACAUCCUAGAAAGACAAGGACCCAGUGACGUGAGAACACCACCCACCAGGCCCACAGACACCCCCAGGGACACGGUGACACUGAUAACCGCGCAUCUGCAACCAGGGACACAGUGACACUGACAACCGUGCAUCUGUAACGAGGCCAAGUGCCCACAGCAGAAGCAGCCGUCGGGUUCCCUGGCCCUGGUGACACAGCAGCUCUGAACAGCCCGAUGCUGGAGUCAAACGAUCCCUCACGAGAGAGCCACAAGCACGCACCUGCAGCCAUGGAAUCCCCUGCCUCCGUUUCUCCAGACUCCAGUGCCCGGAAGCUGAAGGCCCGACCUCGGCCCUCACCCGGCUAUCCUCCUGCAGCCUGAGGUGCGGCAGAUCUGCCAAGGGUGUCCACCCUGCUGUGCUCUCUACCCAGGGACUUCCUGACACUUUCCAGGUCCCCUUGUCACUCACGCAAAGACUGGGUGCCCUGACCCCCCCAGCUGAGGCGGCCCCUCCUUCAUCUGCAGACAGCAGAGCCUCCUGCCACCUGUCGCCAAGUCUGAUGGACCCAAGUUUGACUCCCGCAACCCCCACAGAGCAGAGCCGAUCUCCUCAGGUGCACGGUCGCCUGCCUGUGCCCACACAGAACCAACCAGUCAAUCACCAGUCAGUCAGUGCCCAGACGGCCCCUCCUUGGACUCCUGGCUCAGCAGGGAGAAACAGUAUGUCCCCAGCUUUGUCAAGCUGUGGGAACUUUGGCCGUCUCCAACUCGGUUUCCCGUGGGAGCGUGCAGCCGUGCACCCGCCUUACCGGUUCUCCAGACCAUCGAUGUACUCUUUUUUCUUCUUCCUGCUUUCCUGA